rnacentral:lncRNA from 1 species
UUGUUCUUUGUGUGUAUAUGCCUAUAUUUUGGUUAGAGGGUUAGAGAGGUGUUUUAUAUUUUGACAUGGAGGUUGCUAUAGAAACCUUGUUGUGAAAACCAUGACCAUUAUAGUGCAUUUGCUUCCUGCAAUAGGAAGGACACUGGAUGUAGGCAGUUUGGCCGAACCAGUAUAAAAAUCUGUAUUUGAUUUUUCUAUCCGUGCACUUUCACAUUUCAAGUAGACUUUAUAUUUCAUGUAGUCAACUAUUUCUGCUGCACUGUAGUUAUCUUUUUUGUUGCGAUUCAGGAAACUUUUGAAAGUUCUCUAUUUUACAAAAAAAGAUUUUAAAAAGACUCUGAUUUUUUUAUUUCAUCAAUUCACCCCUUAUUGGUGUGUAAACUAAGCCAUUCUAUUUUCAACAAAUUUUGUUAUAAAAAAAAUGUGCUUUUAUAAAAAUAUUGAAAAAGUAUCACUUCAUGAUUGACUGAGCUUCUGUGUUUGGCCACUCCAUGAAAUUGCCUUUCGUGGGUCUCUUCCUCAUCAAGACACGAAAACUUACUCUUGGGAAACACGACGUGUUGGUUGUAUUGAACAACAAGAUGCGUGAUUCCUUUCUCACUACAUGCUUUUGUUAGCAGUCUUGGAUUCCCUUUUUCUAUCUAUAAAAAGAGUGUUUUACUCUCUCCUAGAAGAGGCAACACACAUUCACUGAAACUCUUCAUCUAUAGAGAAAAGCUUGAGCACAAAAGCACCUUCCAUUUUCUAGCUUUUCAAAACAAAUUCCUAAAGCUCUCCCUCUCAAUUUAUUUGUUCUCUU